rnacentral:rRNA from 1 species
AUUGAACGCUGGCGGCAGGCUUAACACAUGCAAGUCGAGCGGGGUGAUGGUGCUUGCACUAUCACUUAGCGGCGGACGGGUGAGUAAUGCUUAGGAAUCUGCCUAUUAGUGGGGGACAACAUCUCGAAAGGGAUGCUAAUACCGCAUACGUCCUACGGGAGAAAGCAGGGGAUCACUUGUGACCUUGCGCUAAUAGAUGAGCCUAGGUCGGAUUAGCUAGUUGGUGGGGUAAAGGCCUACCAAGGCGACGAGCUGUAGCGGGUCUGAGAGGAUGAUCCGCCACACUGGGACUGAGACACGGCCCAGACUCCUACGGGAGGCAGCAGUGGGGAAUAUUGGACAAUGGGGGGAACCCUGAUCCAGCCAUGCCGCGUGUGUGAAGAAGGCCUUAUGGUUGUAAAGCACUUUAAGCGAGGAGGAGGCUCUUUUGGUUAAUACCCAAGAUGAGUGGACGUUACUCGCAGAAUAAGCACCGGCUAACUCUGUGCCAGCCGCCGCAGUAA